rnacentral:rRNA from 1 species
GGACAACCUACCCUCCGGACGGGUAUAAACCCGGGAAACUGGGUAUAAUCCCCGAUAGAUCUCGGUCGCUGGAAAGCCCCGAGAUCGAAAGCUCCGGCGCCAGAGGAUGGGUCUGCGGCCUAUCAGGUAGUAGUGGGUGUAGCGUACCUACUAGCCUACGACGGGUACGGGUUGUGAGAGCAAGAGCCCGGAGAUGGAUUCUGAGACACGAAUCCAGGCCCUACGGGGUGCAGCAGGCGCGAAAACUUUACAAUGCCGGCAACGGCGAUAAGGGGACCUCGAGUGCCAGGUUACAAAUCUGGCUGUCGUGAUGCCUAAAAAGCAUUGCAUAGCAAGGGCCGGGCAAGACCGGUGCCAGCCGCCGCGGUAACACCGGCGGCUCGAGUGGUAACCGUUAUUAUUGGGUCUAAAGGGUCUGUAGCCGGCCAGAUAAGUCUCUUGAGAAAUCCAGCAGCUCAACUGUUGGGCUUUCAGGAGAUACUGUCUGGCUCGAGGCCGGGAGAGGUGAGAGGUACUUCAGGGGUAGGGGUGAAAUCUUGUAAUCCUUGAAGGACCACCAGUGGCGAAGGCGUCUCACCAGAACGGACCUGACGGCAAGGGACGAAAGCUAGGGGCACGAACCGGAUUAGAUACCCGGGUAGUCCUAGCCGUAAACGAUACUCGCUAGGUGUCGGCCACGGUGCGACCGUUGUCGGUGCCGUAGGGAAGCCGUGAAGCGAGCCACCUGGGAAGUACGGCCGCAAGGCUGAAAC